AACUUUCAUCAUACCCUAAACCCUAAGUUUUGAAUAUUUCAUCAUAAAAUCCAAAGAUAACACAACAAGUAACAUGGUAAAAAAAAAAUUUAUACUAGUAAUAAAUUAUAAUUUUUUUAUUUUUCUACUUCAAGAUCUAAACCCUAAACAUGCCUUGAACUUCAACAUCCAAUACAUAAUAAACUUCAAAAUGAACAUUUGUAAAAAGUAAUUACUAGAACAAAAGUAUAUUAAAUUUUUACUUUUAAUAUUUAAUCAAUCACACAACAUGUGGAAUUUUUUAUACAAAUUUAGAUUUCAAAUUUUAAAUUAUAAUACCAAAUUAUUUAAAGUUUUAGAUAGUUUUAUAUUAACUAUAAAUAAAUAAAAAGAUAAUUUGUAUUGUUUAUUUUGAACCAUUGAUAAGUUUAGAUCAAAGAUCCAAAAUAACUCUUCUAUCUAUUCUCACCUUUUGUUUAUAUUGGUUAGGCGUGGAUUACCAUUUGCACCGUUAGAUGGUAUCGAAUCAACGCUUGAGAUUAAUUGUUUUUAAUUUGUUUUUUUAAUUAUUUUCCGAGAUCUCGUUCUCGAGAGACGAGAGAGAGAGAGAGAGAGAGAGAGAGAGAGAGAGAAGAGAUGGAGAUGGUCGAGAGAGGAGAAGAUGCGACGGCCGGUACUAUCCUUUCUCACACCCUUGAUUGAACCUCGUUAGGCGUCAGAGAAGGUGAACGGGUCUGAUAGAGAUGUGUCGGAGAAGACAUGGGAAGAGGCUCGUCGGUUCGCCUGUCUAUAUCUCUCUCUCUCUGUGUUUUGAAUCUGUUUUUUUUGUUCAUGGGCAGAGCUGGUGGUCGUUAGCAGAGCAAUAUAUGGUGGUAUGCAGGACUGGAAUUAAUUACAUACAUGAAUCUGUUUAUAUUCAUGUGUGAACUUCUUCUGGUGGUGGGAGUUUGAAGCGUCAAUGGAAUUGGAGUCGAGAAAUAUAGAAGAGAAGAGAUGGAGUUGGUUCAGAGGCAAGGGAAGAGAUACAGAUAAGAAGUUUGAUGGCGGUGGAAGAGUAAAGAUUGAUGCGGUUGACGGCGGCGAAGAGUUGGUGCAGAGAUAGGAUUUUUUUCUUUUUAGGUUAAGCUGGUUUAGUUUUUUUUUUUUAAUUUCUAAACCGGGUUUAUGUGUAAACCUUAGGUUAAUCAUGGUUUGGUUUAAUGUUUUUAAUUUGUUUAUGGUUUAAUGUAUUCUUUAAUUAUUUGCAUAUUGAUUUUAAUCAAUAAAAUUUAAUUUUUAUA